rnacentral:misc_RNA from 1 species
GUGAAUCAUCGAAUCUUUGAACGCAUAUUGCACUCUCUGGUAUUCCGGAGAGUAUGCCUGUUCGAGGGUAAUUAAAAAGAAUCUUUAACCAAUUUUUUUGGUCAAAGGAUAUGAGUUCUCGGCUUUUUUAGCGGUAGCUUGAAAUAAUUGGUCAAGCCUAAUUUUAGUGGAGACGCGUAAUAAUUUUAUUUCGCGAAAUCUUCAUAAUGUGCCUAUCAAGUUUUGAUGCAU